rnacentral:rRNA from 1 species
GACGAACGCUGGCGGCGUGCUUAACACAUGCAAGUGGAGCGACGAACCGACCUUCGGGUCGGGGCAGAGCCGCGAACGGGUGAGUAACACGUGGGUAACCCACCCCGACUGACCGGGACGAACCCGAGGAAACUACGGGCUAAUACCGGAUGAGCUCUCAGACCAUGAGGUCUGUGAGGAAAGAUAGCUUCGGCCUUCGCAUCGGGACGGGCCCGCGG